rnacentral:lncRNA from 1 species
AGACGAAGUACUCUGGUGAGAAGUUAUAGGAUAUGAUGAGUUGAAGAGAUUCAUCGAGUUUUAGUGGUACUAAAUAAAAUAUUACUUCAUUUUAAUGAUGAAUAUAUUUUAUUUCAGUAAUGAUGUUGUCUCGUUUAUUGUGGUCAUAGGAUGGAUGACGAAAGUCAAAAUAGUAAUUCCUUGACCCAAGAGACGAUGGACUCUUGCGAGGAGUACACAGACAGUGAGAUGAUAAGAUAUUUGAUAGUUAGGAACGACGACUUAAAGGUUAAAGCUGAGCAGGCGGAGGCACAGAAUCGUACUCUCCAGAUUUCGGAAUAGAAGUACAAGGACGCUGCUCACCGAACACAGAUGGAGUUAACCGAGCUAUGAGAGAGGUUGGAGCAGAGGGAGAUACAGAUAGGACAGUUGAAGGUUGAGGUAGAAGCCAAAGACACCAAGAUAUAUACCUUGGAGCAGGCUUUAGACAUCGCCUUUAUGCGAUUCGAUGCAGAGUGGAUGGAGCUGCCUUUCGGCAGAGA